CCCUUGGUCCUGAAAGAACUAAAGAACUAUUACAAUUAGCCUUUAAAAAGUCUUUGACCUUCUUCAAAGAGUUUCCUGUCCAUUAGAGAGACCUGGACUCCGUGGCUGAUACCUGGGACUGUGAAAUAUGCACUUGCCGAAGGUGGAAGAAAUCCUGUUAUGUAGUGUAUCUUGGCAUUUAAAAAUAAACACUGUCACGUCCGAACAAGUGGAAAAAAUAGCUCCCCCUGCUGCACUUGCGGCUCUCCUCUCUGUUUGCUGUCCAGAAGCUCUGCCUGGGGUUGAAACGCUGAAUGGUUCUCAGAUACGUCUAAAUGCAUUCCUUGCUGUGAAGCAAGAUGGAAACUCAUGGUCUGAAUUUCCUUGCAACAUUAUUAACUUUUUCAACUUUUUCUCCCAAAGGCCAUGACAGAAAAGAAGACAAGAAAUAAAGCAGCUCUUUUGGCAUGCA